rnacentral:rRNA from 1 species
UGAUGACGAGACGCUAAGGCGUUGAAGCAGUGUAUGUCAGACUUCCAAGAAAAGCUCGCAAUGUCACAAAUAAAAAUGCCUGUACCAUAACCGACACAGGUGGGUAGGUAGAGUAUACUAAGGGGCGCGAGAUAACUCUCUCUAAGGAACUCGGCAAAAUGACUCCGUAACUUCGGGAGAAGGGGUGCCUUAUUUAUAAGGUUGCAAUAACAAGAUCCAAGCAACUGUUUAUCAAAAACACAGGUCUCCGCUAAGUCGUAAGACGAUGUAUGGGGGCUGACGCCUGCCCAGUGCCAGAAGGUUAAAGAAGUUGGUUAGUGUAUGCGAAGCUGAUGACUGAAGCCCUGGUGAACGGCGGCCGUAACAAUAACGGUCCUAAGGUAGCGAAAUUCCUUGUCGGGUAAGUUCCGACCCGCACGAAAGGCGUAAUGAUUUGGAUACUGUCUCGGAGAGAGGCUCGGUGAAAUAGACUUGUCUGUGAAGAUGCGGACUACCUGCACCAGGACAGAAAGACCCUAUGAAGCUUUACUGUAACUUGAAAUUGGAAUUGGACUUUGCUUGCGCAGUAUAGGUGGGACCGUUGAAAAUAUUCUUGCGGGAGUAUUGGAGCUAUCAGUGAGAUACCACUCUUGUAAUGUUAGAUUUCUAACUUUGAACCAUAAUCUGGUCAAAGAACAGUUUCAGGUGGGCAGUUUGACUGGGGCGGUCGCCUCCCAAAUGGUAACGGAGGCGUACAAAGGUUUCCUCUGAACGGAUAGAAAUCGUAUCUAGAGUGUAAAGGCAUAAGGAAGCUUGACUGUGAGACCUACAAGUCGAGCAGGGACGAAAGUCGGUCUUAGUGAUCUGACGGUACUGAGUGGAAAGGCCGUCACUCAACGGAUAAAAGUUACUCUAGGAUAACAGGCUGAUCUCCCCCAAGAGUUCACAUCGACGGUGAGGUUUGGCACCUCGAUGUCGGCUCAUCGCAUCCUGGGGCGGUAGUACGUCCCAAGGGUUGGGCUGUUCGCCCAUGAAAGCGGUACGCGAGCUGGGUUCAGAACGUCGUGAGACAGUUCGGUCCAUAUCCGGUGUAGGCGCUAGAAUAUUGAGAGGAGCCUUCUUUAGUACGAGAGGACCGAGAAGGACACACCGCUGGUGUACCAGUUAUCGUGCCAACGGUAAACGCUGGGUAGCUAUGUGUGGAGUGGAUAACCGCUGAAAGCAUCUAAGUGGGAAGCCCACCUCGAGAUGAG